rnacentral:rRNA from 1 species
GGGAAUAUUGGACAAUGGGCGAAAGCCUGAUCCAGCAAUGCCGCGUGAGUGAUGAAGGCCUUAGGGUUGUAAAGCUCUUUUACCCGGGAUGAUAAUGACAGUACCGGGAGAAUAAGCCCCGGCUAACUCCGUGCCAGCAGCCGCGGUAAUACGGAGGGGGCUAGCGUUGUUCGGAAUUACUGGGCGUAAAGCGCGCGUAGGCGGCUUUGUAAGUCAGGGGUGAAAGCCCAGAGCUCAACUCUGGAAUAGCCUUUGAGACUGCAUCGCUUGAAUCCAGGAGAGGUGAGUGGAAUUCCGAGUGUAGAGGUGAAAUUCGUAGAUAUUCGGAAGAACACCAGUGGCGAAGGCGGCUCACUGGACUGGUAUUGACGCUGAGGUGCGAAAGCGUGGGGAGCAAA